rnacentral:rRNA from 1 species
CGCUGGCGGCGUGCUUAACGCAUGCAAGUCGAACGGACGAGCACCCUUCGGGGUGUAAGUUAGUGGCGGACGGGUGAGUAACGCGUGAGUAACCUGCCUUGGAGUGGGGGAUAACACAGGGAAACUUGUGCUAAUACCGCAUAAGAUCAUAGGGUGGCAUCAUCUAGUGAUCAAAGAUUUAUCGCUCCAAGAUGGGCUCGCGUCCGAUUAGAUAGUUGGUGAGGUAAAGGCCCACCAAGUCAACGAUCGGUAGCCGGACUGAGAGGUUGGCCGGCCACAUUGGGACUGAGACACGGCCCAGACUCCUACGGGAGGCAGCAGUGGGGAAUAUUAGGCAAUGGGGGAAACCCUGACCUAGCGACGCCGCGUGAAGGAUGAAGGUUUUCGGAUUGUAAACUUCUUUGGCAGAGGACGAUAAUGACGGUACUCUGAGAACAAGCCACGGCUAACUACGUGCCAGCCGCUGC